rnacentral:rRNA from 1 species
ACACAUGCAGUCGAGCGGAAGGCCCUUCGGGGUACUCGAGCGGCGAACGGGUGAGUAAACACGUGAGUAACCUGCCCUUGGCUCUGGGAUAAGCCCGGGAAACUGGGUCUAAUACCGGAUAUGACCCUCCACCGCAUGGUGCGAGGGUGGAAAGUUUUUCGGCUGAGGAUGGACUCGCGGUCUAUCAGCUUGUUGGUGGGGUGAUGGCCUACCAAGGCGACGACGGAUAGCCGGCCUGAGAGGGUGACCGGCCACACUGGGACUGAGACACGGCCCAGACUCCUACGGGAGGCAGCAGUGGGGAAUAUUGCGCAAUGGGCGGAAGCCUGACGCAGCGACGCCGCGUGGGGGAUGAAGGCCUUCGGGUUGUAAACCUCUUUCACCACCGACGAAGCUAACGUGACGGUAGGUGGGGAAGAAGCGCCGGCUAACUACGUGCCAGCAGCCGCGGUAAUACGUAGGGCGCAAGCGUUGUCCGGAAUUAUUGGGCGUAAAGAGCUCGUAGGUGGUUUGUCACGUCUGCCGUGAAAACCCGAGGCUUAACCUCGGGCCUGCGGUGGAUACGGGCAGACUAGAGGUAGGUAGGGGAGAACGGAAUUCCCGGUGUAGCGGUGAAAUGCGCAGAUAUCGGGAGGAACACCGGUGGCGAAGGCGGUUCUCUGGGCCUUACCUGACGCUGAGGAGCGAAAGCGUGGGGAGCGAACAGGAUUAGAUACCCUGGUAGUCCACGCCGUAAACGUUGGGCGCUAGGUGUGGGGUCCUUCCACGGACUCCGUGCCGUAGCUAACGCAUUAAGCGCCCCGCCUGGGGAGUACGGCCGCAAGGCUAAAACUCAAAGGAAUUGACGGGGGCCCGCACAAGCGGCGGAGCAUGUUGCUUAAUUCGACGCAACGCAAAAAACCUUACCAAGGUUUGACAUCACCGGAAAACUCGCAGAGAUGCGGGGUCCUUUUGGCCGGUGACAGGUGGGUGCAUGGGCUGUCGUCAGCUCGUGUCGUGAGAUGUUGGGUUAAGUCCCGCAACGAGCGCACCCCUCGUUCCAUGUUGCCAGCACGUAAUGUUGGGGGACUCAUGGGAGACUGCGGGGGUCAACUCGGAGGAAGGGUGGGGAUGACGUCAAGUCAUCAUGCCCCUUAUGUCUUGGGCUGCAAAC